CUAACAUUCAUAUCUGCAAGCUUCAUGGACGGCUAGCAACUGCAGCAAAGAGCAACCGAAAACUUCCACCAUUUCCUCUACAAACUCCACCAAAUUCAACCAAAACUUCACACACACUUAGCUCUUCACUUGGACAAUCACUUGGACAAAGAAGGAGCUGCACAUUCACGGUUUUUCUUGGGGCUUUUGGACACCAAAAUCUGACCUUUUAGCACACAAGUAAGAUUUGAACUCGGAGGCGUACUGGAAAAAAACCUCCUGAUGAGCUUUUGUUUAGGGUUUCUAUUACUUUUGGCUAUGUCUUGGCUUUUGGGUUGUAUUUUGGAAUCCGAAUGUAACUUUUGGAGCAUAUGUAUAUUUGGGAUAUAUGAUGGUUGUUGAAUACCCGAUGUGCGGAUUGGAUAACGGAUGACUUUUAUUAAAUUUGAACGCUUCCGCAUUUAUUAUAUCUAAGUUAUUGACUCG